AUGCUCAAAAUAAAGUUGUUUCUAAACUAUAUUUGUCUGCUAUGCCUGUGUAGCAGCCAAGGAUGUAUGCUUGUUCUCAUAUAU
rnacentral:snoRNA from 1 species